CAGAUGCUCCCUGCCUCCAUUUCUCAGAGGAAGCCUGAGAGAAACAAGCACUGCUGACCUGCUGGCACCAGCAACAGGAAGAGCAGCCCUGUGUUUCCCUGCCCCAGCAGUGCACCUGUUCCUGGGGGCUGGAAGCAGUGUUGCUAUUAAUUGGCUGAAGUUGCCCUAUAAAACUUGAGCUUUAAGACUCAGAAACCUGAUAGCAGCUUGGAGUUCCCUUGGAAAUCACCAGAUGUGGCCCAAGAGCACCUAAAAGGAAGAGAGUCAAACUGCCUCCUUCUUUCCCCACUCUGGCUAUCUGUGACAUCCACAAAAUCCAGAUGAACAUCUGACAGCUGCCUUGCACCCCAGCGAUCAGGAGGAAAUGGAGGAGAGGGGCUGUCCUAUGUUGGCCCUUUGCACAAAGAAGGUGGGACUAGACAUUGCCACCAAGGUGUUGUAUCGUGAGGACCAGAAGCCUCUCGUUAUGGCAGCCCCAGGAUGCUACACCGAUGGCGGCCUGGUUUUACGACUUCUCCACUUUACCUCAUUAAAGGCAGAAGAGAGAGAGCUGCAGAACGUGCAGCUGGAUCGUAAACACCAGGAAGGAAGAAAACAAGUGCAUAAAAAAGAUGGGGCAUGGAGCAUAGGGAUUUUACUCUUCGAGCACUGUGAUAGCGCAUCCCAUCUACUACACUGUCUGGGCUCACUGCUGUUAACUCCAGUCUUCAUUACCAUUCCAAUUUUCUGUCGGACAACCUGCAGUGCAGGGUGAUGGCUGUUGAAGAAAGCUCUUGGGGAAAAGAGGGUACUGAUAAUAUCAACCAGCAGCAAUAUCCAAAGCCUGUGUGAUGUAUUUCUAGAGAGAGAGGUUGGUAGAAUCUCUGCUCCAAAGAUGGAUUAAAAAUGCAUGCUAUAAUUCAGCUUGUCAGACAGGAGCUCGUGUUGGCAGAAUCGGGCAUCAGUCAAAUGCUUGAAAGCCAGAUCCAGCAAGUGCAGCAGAUAAUAGUAUUGAAAACAGCCGGUGGGGGAGAUGAAAAAGUAAUUGGAGUACAGAGGUGGGCAGAGCUGAUGGGGUGGGCUGUGCUGCCACGGAACUCCUGUUCUACCAACUAGCUGCAAAUUUGGAUACCACACCAGGCAGAUCAUGCAGAGGCAGAGCACAAAAGGUGUUGCCCAAGGGACUGUGGGAUUUUCGGCGCUGUGACAAAGUUGCUCUUACUCCCUACCCUGAAAAUUCAAGAACUCAUGGAGCGUUUGCCUUCACCAGUCUUUACACCUCCACUUGGAGCCUCUUUCCUUUUUAAUAAAAGAAAUCCCCC
rnacentral:lncRNA from 7 species